GAUGAAGAACGUAGCGAAAUGCGAUAAGUAGUGUGAAUUGCAGAAUUCAGUGAAUCAUCAAAUCUUUGAACGCACAUUGCGCCCCUUGGUAUUCCAUGGGGCAUGCCUGUUCGAGCGUCAUUUGUACCUUCAAGCUCUGCUUGGUGUUGGGUGUUUGUCUCGCCUCUGCGUGUAGACUCGCCUCAAAACAAUUGGCAGCCGGCGUAUUGAUUUCGGAGCGCAGUACAUCUCGCGCUUUGCACUCAUAACGACGACGUCCAAAAGUACAUUUUUACACUCUUGACCUCGGAUCAGGUAGGGAUACCCGCUGAACUUAAGCAUAUCAAUGAGCGGAGGA
rnacentral:misc_RNA from 1 species